rnacentral:snRNA from 1 species
AAUCUUACCUGGUGUCGGGCACUCUGUGAUCACGAAGGCGGAGAGGAGCCCAGGAGGAGGCCCUUCCAUUGCACUUCGGAAGAGCUGAGACCUGCCACUGUCCCAAACUGGGAAGAGUGGGGCAUGUAAUUUUUAUAUU